rnacentral:rRNA from 1 species
AUUGAACGCUGGCGGCAGGCCUAACACAUGCAAGUCGAACGGUAACAGGAAACAGCUUGCUGUUUCGCUGACGAGUGGCGGACGGGUGAGUAAUGUCUGGGAAACUGCCUGAUGGAGGGGGAUAACUACUGGAAACGGUAGCUAAUACCGCAUAACGUCGCAAGACCAAAGAGGGGGACCCUCGGGCCUCUUGCCAUCGGAUGUGCCCAGAUGGGAUUAGCUUGUUGGUGGGGUAACGGCUCACCAAGGCGACGAUCCCUAGCUGGUCUGAGAGGAUGACAAGACACACAGGAAGUGAGAAACGGUCCAGGACCGCAGGGGAGACAGGAGGGGGAAAUAUUGCCAAAGGGGGGAAAGCCUGAGACACCCAGGCGGGGGGAAAAAAAAAGGCCUUCGGGUUGUAAAGUAAUUUCAGGGGGGGGAAGGGGAGAAAAGUUAAAACCUUUGCCCAUUGCGUUAACCGGCAAAAAAAGCACGGGCAAACCCGGG